CUAUUCCUAAUCAAAAUAGAACUAGAAAAUCUUCAACAACAAAUCCCCUUAGAACUAGUAUUCUUCAAUAACUAUUCCUCUUAGUACUGAUAUUCAUUUAUAGAACUGGAAUUCUUUUUGCAAAUAACUUUGACAAAAUACUUUGAGUCAACAUUCUCCCCCUUUGUCAAAUUUUUGGCAAACACCUUGGUCUCUGUCUUUCUCCCCCUUAGUUGAUGCCACAGUGGUGUUUGAUUGAUGGUAGAUUAAUGACAGGUUAGAUCACCAUCCCAUGUGUAGCUUUUAUCAGAUGAUCUUUUCCCCAUCAUAACACAUUCAUGUUUUUGGUUGUAGACUUUACAAUUCUCUUUGGAAAAUUCUACUUUGAGUUCAUCAUCACACAGUUGACUUAUACUGAUAAGGUUUGCUUUGAGUCCUUGUACCAAAAAGACUCUUGGUAAUCUGGGCAGUCCAUGGACAUUCAAGAUAAUGUGGAUUUCCUGUCAUAUGUCUUGAACAUCCGCUGUCAAAAUACCAAACACUUUGUUCUUGGCUUGUUUCUGAGUACGCCUUUAUGUGUCCCAAUUUGUGGCAGUAAUAACAUCUGAUUCUCCUUCGGUGUUGAAAGUGAUGUUGUGACACCUCAGGAUUUUCAGAAG